GGGAAAAUAAGUCAAAAUGUAUUUACCUGAGCAAGUAUGUAACACAAACGGUAAGUGUGGUAGCUUUUACUGGGCCUCCUAAUCUAGAACAAAGGUUUAUAAUUAACCUAUUAGAUUCCUAACGGGUCUUUUAUUUAAGCCUAAGCUUUGACCGGUUAGUUUUAAGGAUGAUACGGGUUACGCACGAUUAAGCGAAAGACCGGAUAGAAUGUGAUUUAGACCCGACAAGUUUGAAUACUUGUAUAAUAUGGGUAUACUAAAUACAUUCUGGAUUUUGUUAUAAAAAUGAUAACGUUUGACCCGUUUCGGUCAAUUUACGCAAACUAGUUACGUAAACCGAACCGAACGCAAAAAGGGCGUUACGGGUAGCCACAAGAGUCAAAUGCAAUAAGUUAUGUUCUAUAUUGCCCGAAAUAGUUUUAAGCUCAAUUUAUGCCUUAGAAGGGCAUUUUGGUCAUUUAAAAGAUUAUAAAAGAGUCAAAUUAGAAAUCUGAGGUUCGGGUCUGCUUCAUACAGAAAAUAUACUUAAUUUAACAUGUUAUAACAGUAGGGUAUGACCCAUAUAUCAAAUCUAUCAUUUAAAACCAAACUAUGCACCGUAGGGGUAUUUUAGUAAUUUCACAAGGGCUAAAACUGCCAAAACUGGAAAUCUGAGUUCAUAUACUUAUACUUACUGUAAUUAUAUGAAAAUAUGCUAAACACAUCAGUAGGUAUAAGUCUUAUAUGUUAAAAACGGGUAUAACGCUUACUAUGCGCUUAAAACGCUAAAAAUGCGAUUUAGAGCCGUUUCCGGGUUUAUAUAUGAAAACUGAGAUUUUUAUAUUUCCAGAAAGCUCAAAAUAAUUUAUUUAACAUAUAAAAUCAGUAGGAAAAGGUUUCGGGUCAAAAGGAUGCAUAAAACUCAUUUUAUGGCCUAAACGGUCAAAACCGAC
rnacentral:lncRNA from 1 species